GUGAUCUGAGUUACAAUUGUCAGUCUUUGGGUCGACAUAUACCUUACAUAUAAUUAUUGCCAAGAGUGUAUGCACUCUGGUAUUACUGAUUCUACAACAAUUCAAAGUUCUGCAUAUACAUUCUACAUGCAAAAGCUUUCUUGUAUCUGCGAAGUGAAGAACGUAUUUAACGUAGAUUCUAGUGUAGCGUAUUAAACUUGUGUAAGGCAAUAUUUGAGUAUUUCGCCGUGGUAGACUCAAUGUAGAAGGUUUUACCAAGGGCAUAUGCAUAUAGAAACCUGCAUCAAGGGGGCAUAGGAUUCACAUAUUUUGUCUCAUGUUCAAACUGCUCUAUCUCUGCAGGGAAAGGCCACAUCGCUGGACAGAUAGCUUAUUUAGCCUUUUCUCUGUUUGUAUGAUCCUGAUUCCAUGAAUGUUUUAACAUUUCCUGUCAAUGUAUUUACCCACAAAAAGGGAUGGCCAUGCAUGGGCUAGGCUAGUGCAUGCUGUGGAGUUGAGUCAAUGCCAAUGGUGCAUGGUGCCUCAGGGAUGGCAGCCACGUAAAGCUCUGUGGAUCAUCAGAUAGACACUACACUUAUCACAGAUUGUGGCGGAAGAUGUUACCAGUAUAUAUCGUGCAUUGAAGUCACUAGAAGCACAAGGAACACAGUUAUACAUCUUGUAACUAUCACAACGAAGAAGACAAAUUGUUGAUCAAUCGUGAACUGAUCACAGUCACACAGUUUAUUUUUAUAGCCCCCCUUCAACUGUGAUCAUGAUGAUAGUUGUAUUACUUUUCUCUCUCUUUCACCUAUUAUUGGCUGGAGAUGUGGAGAUAAACCCUGGACCUGGACUGAAUACUGUUCUAUCUCUCUCUGACAUACUUGAGGUGUACGAGAAGGCACGGAGUGCUAGUCCGAACUGGUUCAACUUUGGACUAGCUCUGGAACUUGACUAUACUGACUUAACCAACUAUCGUGAAACGUACCUUGGUAACAAUGAUGUGUGCCUGCAUGAAGUUCUAGCUCUUCAGCUACAGUCCGGUACUCUAACAUGGGGAGGCAUAUGUGCUGCUCUCAGGCACUCAACAGUGAAGAGAAAUGAUGUAGCUGUGGAGAUAGAGGUAUUCAUUGAAAGUUGUGAGAGAGAGGAACUUGAGGUAUAACCAAUGCCCUUUUAAGUCAUUAUACAAUAUAAAUUGGUAAUUAGUUUUGGUUAAUUAUUUGCUGCCUGUGUGCAGCCUGAUGUCUGUGAAUACAUACACAUGCAAUUACAUAUUAUACAUCACACAUUAUAAUGAGAGCAUUCAUUUUUAUAACCAUACCAUGUUGUUGUUCAGUAAUAAUAGAGUAGUAAUUAUACUCGUGCAGUGUUAUAUACUUUUUUUAAACUCAUACGACAUGUACAUGCACAUGUAGAGAUCUCAAAGCACAAAUGGAGGUGAUACAUCACGUGGUAAGCUAUAUAUACGUCAUGUGUAUAAUAUCUAAUGGAA